rnacentral:rRNA from 1 species
CCUUGACUCUUAAAUAGGGUGUAUAACAAUUUGUUGUAUGAUUCUUCUUAAGAGGACUAUCAGGAAAAACCUGAUGGAGGUUCGAGGCAAUAACAGGUCUGUGAUGCCCUUAGACGUUCUGGGCCGCACGCGCGCUACACUGAUACAGCCAGCGAGUCUAUACCCUUGUCCGAGAGGACUAGGUAAUCUUGUUAAACUGUAUCGUGCUGGGGAUAGAGCUUUGCAAUUUUUGCUCUUGAACGAGGAAUUCCUAGUAAGCGCAAGUCAUCAGCUUGCGUUGAUUACGUCCCUGCCCUUUGUACACACCGCCCGUCGUUACUACCGAUUGAAUGACUUAGUGAAGCCUUUGGACGUGCGAUUGAUGAGGGCGACCUCUGCCGUUGUACGAAAAUUGGAUGAACUUGGCCAUUUAGAGGAAGUACAAGUCG